GUUACGUAAGUGUACAAUUGCUGACUAUUAUAUAUAUUGUGGGACAGGAAUUCGAUGCAGUCCUCAAUAUCAACCGGCAAGGCACAGUCCAGAGAAGGAUAGUCUUUAUGUUCUGACGACACACAUCAGAGGAAACAGUCAUGGAUUACCCAGAGUCCAGUUCUGGGGCUGGUACCAGCAUGCAAAGCAAAGAAUGGAUCCAAAGAUUGUUCAGCACCUUUUACUGCAGUAUGGAGGUUAAAACAAUUUUGACAAAAGGUCUUUUAUCUUCAUUUUUUCUCUUUAAAAGGUUUACUUGCAUUCAAUCUUCAAUCUUUUGAAGAGUACACUUAUGGAAUUUUAUCUGUACAGAUUUUACCUAAAUAUGGAAACUCAAAAAUAA